UACGGAGGAUCCGAGCGUUAUCCGGAUUUAUUGGGUUUAAAGGGUGCGUAGGCGGCCUAUUAAGUCAGGGGUGAAAGACGGUAGCUUAACUAUCGCAGUGCCUUUGAUACUGAUAGGCUUGAUUGUACUUGAGGUAGGCGGAAUGUGACAAGUAACGGUGAAAUGCAUAGAUAUGUCACAGAACACCAAUUGCGAAGGCAGCUUACUAAAGUAUGAUUGACGCUGAGGCACGAAAGCGUGGGGAUCAAACAGG
rnacentral:rRNA from 1 species